UAAGUUAUGUUCUUUUAGCCAGGGCCGUAUUUAAGCAUGCUGAGGCCCGGGCAGGAUUUUUGUUGAGCCCCCUACAAUUUUUCGAAAACUUUAAUAAAUAUCCACUUAAGAAUGAAAAUACUUUUAUAUAAGAACAUGCUAUAUUUUAAAAGAAAGAAGUAGAGUUUUUGUAAAUGUAAUCUCACUUUCCUUUUUAAAAAAUGUUUAAUAUGCAUAUUUUGGUUUUUAAAAAGUGUAUAUUUGUAGAGGGUAAUGCCAGAAGGUCGACUUUCACAGGACAUCCUGUAUGGCGAUCUAAUAGAAGGCAGGAGAGCCGCUGGUCGCCCACUUUUACGUUAUACGGAUGUAUGCAAACGCGACAUGAAGCUCUUCAAAAUCGACACUGGCAACUGGGAAGAGGUGGCACUGGACAGAUCCUCAUGGAGAGAGAGCAUAAAGGAAGGGUUAAAGAUUGCAGAUGUCAUACACAACAGAAGCAGAAAGAAGGGUGAAAAUGCAACGGCGCCUGGUGAUUAUAUAUGCCCAACCUGCGAUCGCAGCUGUGUAUCAAGGAUUGGCCUCUUUAGUCACACAAAAAGUUGCAAAGGAAAAAGAUCGUCUCUCGAGACGUAAAAUGCCACAGAAGGCCGUUUGUAUACGAACUGUCAUAAAUGU